UCUUUUAAAAUCUUCUUUUCAAAAAUAGCAAAGCCAUGAUUAGUGAUAUUUAUAUGGAAGCAUCCUCAGGUAGGGUCUCAAUGGUGGAUCAAAGUUUUACAUAGGAAAAUAAAGGGAAAAAUCUCAAUAGCAGAAAAGCUACUGUAGGAUCAACAUUGUUCAUGGGGAUCCAUUGUUUGUGGAUUUCGUGGGUCACCCUUACCCAUGAAUUUACAUCCCCUGAGUGUUUAUUUUGUUAGCAUAUUGGUUCAUUGAACCAUUGUAUUUGCGA